CGCAUAUACAAACACUGGGCGAGGCGGCCACAAACUUUUGUCCUCAAAUUAGGGACUACAGUAUUUUAUAUUGAACUUGCACAAAACUCAGGAGUGGCCGUGUAUCUCUGAAUCGUUACCAUUAACAACAGUCAAUAUCGUUUGAUCUACCGCCCGUUGCUGCCACCGUUAAGGCCUCACCAAAUCAAUACAUCAAGCUGGACUCUUGACAAAAUGGGCGCCACUGUUCCCAAAGUUUAUAAAUGAUAGGUGCCUCUACGCAAACUAACCUCUAGGAGUAAAAUGUUGUUAAUAGCACAUUUAAAAACACCGGCAAGACGGCCACAAUCUUUCGUCCUCAAAUUAGGGACUACAGUAUUUUAUAUUGAACUUGCACAAAACCCAGGAGUGGCCGUGUAUCUCUGAAUCGUUACCAUU